CCCUUAGAUGUUCUGGGCAGCACGCGCGCUACAAUGGUCUUCGCAAACGGAUGCAUUCUCGAAGGAGAAUGCCAAUCUUGGAAUCUAUGCCUUGGUCGGGACAGUUGCUUGCAAUUUUUCGACUCGAACCAGGAAUUCCUUGUAAUCGUGAUUCAUCACAUCACGAUGAAUACGUCCCUGCCCUUUGUACACACCGCCCGUCGCUCCUACCGAUCGAAGAGUUAGGUGAAUUGUUUUGAUCGAUAAGAUUUGACUAUGGUCAACUCUCGUCGUGAAAUUCUGUGAAUCUGACUGUUUAGAGGAAGGAGAAGUCGUAACA
rnacentral:rRNA from 1 species